rnacentral:misc_RNA from 1 species
GAUUUAUCUUCUCCAAUUGACCCACUUGGAAAUCCUAUGCCGUCUUUCAAGGCAUCUUAUCAAACAUGGCGGGAGGAUUUCAAUCAAUACCCAUGGCCAUUGAUUACUCGCGUUAAAAGAUGUUGGGACAGGCUAAAAGAGUGGCUAGCCAUAAAUUUCCCUGAAGGUUUGUCUACAUUGCGUAAAGGUGCAUCUGAGGAAGAAAUACUGGAGUUGGAGAAGAGUUUGAAAGUAAAACUGCCUCUACCUACUAGGGUUCUCUACCGGUUUUAUGAUGGUCAAGAACUAUCAAGUGAGGAGUCCAGUGGGAGCGCGCCUGGGAGUUUAUUAGGUCUCAUGGGAGGUUACUCCUUUUAUG